AAGCAUGAUGAGGGUAUUUACUAAACAUCUCUUUAAAUCUUUCCAAUUUUCAUAAAUUGUCUUUUCUUUAAAUUGGAAAAAAUAAGUGAUAUCAUUCCUAAGCUU